rnacentral:tRNA from 1 species
GGGCAGAUAGCCGAAUCCGGUUAAGGCAUUCGCCUGCAGAGCGAAAGAUUGGGGGUUCAAAUCCCUCUCUGCCCU